rnacentral:rRNA from 1 species
UGAGUGCGAGCUGCUACGGCAGCGAAGUUGGUGACGUCAAGCUUCCAAGAAAAGCCCUAUACCCGUUAGGGCAUCAUGGCCUGUACCCGAAACCGACACAGGUGGGGUGGUAGAGAAUACCGAGGGGCGCGAGGUAACUCUCUCUAAGGAACUCGGCAAAAUGGCCCCGUAACUUCGGGAGAAGGGGUGCCACCGCAAGGUGGUCGCAGUGAAGAGGCCCAGGCGACUGUUUACCAAAAACACAGGUCUCCGCUAAGUCGCAAGACGAUGUAUGGGGGCUGACGCCUGCCCAGUGCCGGAAGGUUAAGGAAGCUGGUCAGCGCAAGCGAAGCUGGCGACUGAAGCCCCGGUGAACGGCGGCCGUAACUAUAACGGUCCUAAGGUAGCGAAAUUCCUUGUCGGGUAAGUUCCGACCCGCACGAAAGGCGUAACGAUCUGGGCGCUGUCUCGGAGAGAGGCUCGGCGAAAUAGAAUUGUCUGUGAAGAUGCGGACUACGUGCACCCGGACAGAAAGACCCUAUGAAGCUUUACUGUAGCUUGGUAUUGUGCCCGGGCUCUGAAUGCGCAGGAUAGGUGGGAGGCUUUGAUCAUCGGCUUGCGGGUCGAUGUGAGCCAACGGUGAGAUACCACUCUUUCAGAGCUAGGGUUCUAACAGUCACCCGUUAUCCGGGGACUGGACAGUAUCAGGUGGGCAGUUUGACUGGGGCGGUCGCCUCCUAAAAGGUAACGGAGGCGCGCAAAGGUCUGCUCAGGCUGGUUGGAAAUCAGCCGACGAGUGUAAAAGCAGAAGCAGGCUUGACUGUGAGACCUACAAGUCGAACAGGGAGGAAACUCGGCUUUAGUGAUCCGACGGUUCUGCGUGGAAGGGCCGUCGCUCAACGGAUAAAAGUUACUCUAAGGAUAACAGGCUGAUCUCCCCCAAGAGUUCACAUCGACGGGGAGGUUUGGCACCUCGAUGUCGGCUCAUCGCAACCUGGGGCCGAAGUCGGUCCCAAGGGUUGGGCUGUUCGCCCAUUAAAGCGGUACGCGAGCUGGGUUCAGAACGUCGUGAGACAGUUCGGUCCAUAUCCGGUGCAUGCGCAGGAAUAUUGAGAGGAGUUCUCCCUAGUACGAGAGGACCGGGAGGAACGCACCUCUGGUGUACCAGUUAUCGUGCCAACGGUAAACGCUGGGUAGCCAUGUGCGGAGAGGAUAACCGCUGAAAGCAUCUAAGUGGGAAGCCCACCUCAAGAUGAGUAUUCCCAUGGCGUUAGCCAGUAAGGUCACGGGAGGAACACCCGUUGAUAGGCUCUAUGUGGAAGCGCAGUAAUGCGUGAAGCAGAGGAGUACUAAUAGACCGAGGGCUUGAC